CUACUGUCUGCAUAGUUGACCCUUUGCUUUUCAAUACACGAAUAUUAAUUGCAAUUAAAACUCGCAAAAAUGCAUUCUAAGUGUGGUCGCGUAUCACUAAUAGCUUUUUGGCAAAAACUAGGUGUAGCCAGAUCGGGUGUGUCUAUGUGCAGUGUUGUGUUGCCAUCCAAUUGGAAACCUCAUAAAUAAUAUGCAAAAGUUGUAAUUGACAGUGUCCACAAAAUCAACAGUGUGCACAAUAACAACAAGCAGCAGCAGUGGUUACAUCACAACCGAAAAGCACAGAAGGAGCAGCGGCAGGAGGUGGGGCAGCUGCAUGAAAUUGCAGUUGCGGCCUUCAACGCAAAAAGUAAAGAAAAGAAGUGCACAACAGACAGCGAAGACACAACGGUGGCAACGCCAACAGCUGCGACAUGUUAAGCCCAUUUACAACAAAAAUAAAAGAAAAGAAACGAAAUGAAAUGAAAAAAAAAAAAACGAAACUUGAAAUUAGGUAAAAAUACACAGCGCAAAUCAAGGAAAAUGAAACUGAAAAUAAUGAAGAAUGCGCAACGUCAGCAACAAUAAGAGCCAAAGCGUAACUCGGCUCAGACACAGGCACAAGCCCGGCUCAGACCAGGCCCAGUCCCAGUCGCAAUCCCGGGCCUGUGCAUGUGCAGUGGGUCCACUUGACUUGGUUUUGUUUCGGUCCCAGACUCGAUUGCGCUUCUACAAAUGAAUUGAAAUGGAAAUUGAAAUUCCUGCAACGUGCGCCAACAACAAUGCGGCGACUUGUGGAUCAAUUUCUUUGGCGCGAAGAUGUCGUGGACGCAGGCGCUGCAGGCGACGUAAACACCUUUCGCCGUUGCUGGAGUCCCUGUCGGUUGCAUAAUUAAUGGCAUCUUCUCAUUGAUCUCGACGUUUAUUUAGGUUAUGCAUGGCCAACGUUUGGCAUAUGAAGUGGAACAAGUUUUUUUAAUGACCGGCUGCAUGAGCUGAAGGACUUGUAUCGACACAAAUGUUCAAUAAAUAAAAACAUUUAUAUACAUUACCGCCAAUGGGAAAAUGGGACAUGCAGCCAGUUUGAACGUCUAUAUUAAGAUGUACAUUACAAAUAACUAGUUUUUCAUUACAGUCCAAAGCGCGCUAUUUCCUGACGUCUUUUCCAUUUGGGUAAAACGCUGGAAGGUCUCUACUUAGAGAGUAACUCACAAGGCCCAUGCUACUCCAAGGUCUCAGACUCAUGCUCUUGCAGCUGGAGAUGGCGGCAGGAAGACGUGCUGUCCAAGGACUCCAAACACUACCUAGUAUAAAUUACAUUUAAGUUAAUUAAAUUCUUAACUUGAAACUAGUUUUAAACGAUACAAAUGCGGCAUUUUUAGGCCUUUCCAAUCACUUGUAGACUUCGAUUGUUUAGGCCUGGCAACAUAUUCACCUGGAAUGUGGCAACAUAACAAUUACAGCAAAA